rnacentral:rRNA from 1 species
AAAUUGAAGAGUUUGAUCAUGGCUCAGAUUGAACGCUGGCGGCAGGCCUAACACAUGCAAGUCGAACGGUAACAGAAAGCAGCUUGCUGCUUUGCUGACGAGUGGCGGACGGGUGAGUAAUGUCUGGGAAACUGCCUGAUGGAGGGGGAUAACUACUGGAAACGGUAGCUAAUACCGCAUAAUGUCGCAAGACCAAAGAGGGGACCUUCGGGCCUCUUGCCAUCGGAUGUGCCCAGGUGGGAUUAGCUAGUAGGUGGGGUAACGGCUCACCUAGGCGACGAUCCCUAGCUGGUCUGAGAGGAUGACCAGCCACA